GUGGUCUCCCAGGCCGGGGGCCCCGAAGGCAAAGACUACUGCAUCCUCUACAACCCGCAGUGGGCCCAUCUUCCGCAUGACCUCACCAAGGCAUCUUUCCUGCAGCUGCGCAACUGGACGGCCUCCCUGCUCUGCUCCGCAGCCGACCUCCCCGCCCGUGGCUUCAGCAACCAGAUCCCGCUGGUGGCGCGGGGGAACUGCACCUUCUAUGAGAAAGUGAGGCUGGCCCAGGGCAGCGGAGCACGCGGGCUGCUCAUCGUCAGCAGGGAGAGGCUGGUACGGCCCUGCGCGUCCCCCGCCGGGCCAGCUCUCAGGGGCAGGAGGGGGGUGCAGGAGGCAGAGAUGGCAGCAGCUGGGGCUGGUCUUCCGACUUCUCGCUAAAGGCAGACCCCUCUGUGGGGAGGAUCUGGGCCGAGUGUGAACGUGGGGAGGAUCCGGGCCGAGUGUGGCCGUCGGGAGGGCGGAGAUGAGUCUGUUCUUCCUGCGCUGCUGGCUGGGGCUGUGGAACUUUGGCCGUGGUCUUGUUGGGUGCCUGUCCUAGAGCAGCCCCCAGGGGUGAUGGAGACCACACCCUCUGUGGGGAUGG
rnacentral:sRNA from 1 species